UACAGAGGUCCCAAGCGUUGUUCGGAUUCACUGGGCGUAAAGAGCUCGUAGGCGGUUUGUCGCGUCUGCCGUGAAAGUCCGGGGCUCAACCCCGGAUCUGCGGUGGGUACGGGCAGACUAGAGUGAUGUAGGGGAGACUGGAAUUCCUGGUGUAGCAGUGAAAUGCGCAGAUAUCAGGAGGAACACCGAUGGCGAAGGCAGGUCUCUGGGCAUUAACUGACGCUGAGGAGCGAAAGCAUGGGGAGCGAACAGG
rnacentral:rRNA from 1 species